rnacentral:rRNA from 1 species
AGAGUUUGAUCCUGGCUCAGGACGAACGCUGGCGGCGUGCCUAAUACAUGCAAGUCGAGCGGACUUGUAGGAGCUUGCUCCUGCAGGUUAGCGGCGGACGGGUGAGUAACACGUGGGCAACCUACCUAUAAGACUGGGAUAACUUCGGGAAACCGGAGCUAAUACCGGAUGACAUAAAGGAACUCCUGUUCCUUUAUUGAAAGAUGGCUUCGGCUAUCACUUAUAGAUGGGCCCGCGGCGCAUUAGCUAGUUGGUGAGGUAAUGGCUCACCAAGGCGACGAUGCGUAGCCGACCUGAGAGGGUGAUCGGCCACACUGGGACUGAGACACGGCCCAGACUCCUACGGGAGGCAGCAGUAGGGAAUCUUCGGCAAUGGGCGAAAGCCUGACCGAGCAACGCCGCGUGAGCGAUGAAGGCCUUCGGGUCGUAAAGCUCUGUUGUUAGGGAAGAACAAGUACGAGAGUAACUGCUCGUACCUUGACGGUACCUAACCAGAAAGCCACGGCUAACUACGUGCCAGCAGCCGCGGUAAUACGUAGGUGGCAAGCGUUAUCCGGAAUUAUUGGGCGUAAAGCGCGCGCAGGCGGUCUCUUAAGUCUGAUGUGAAAGCCCACGGGCUCACCCGUGGAGGGUCAUUGGAAACUGGGAGACUUGAGUGCAGGAGAGAAAAGUGGAAUUUCCACGUGUAGCGGUGAAAUGCGUAGAGAUGUGGAGGAACACCAGUGGCGAAGGCGGCUUUUUGGCCUGUAACUGACGCUGAGGCGUGAAAGCGUGGGGAGCAAACAGGAUUAGAUACCCUGGUAGUCCACGCCGUAAACGAUGAGUGCUAGGUGUUGGGGGGUUCCACCCUCAGUGCUGAAGUUAACACAUUAAGCACUCCGCCUGGGGAGUACGACCGCAAGGUUGAAACUCAAAGGAAUUGACGGGGGCCCGCACAAGCGGUGGAGCAUGUGGUUUAAUUCGAAGCAACGCGAAGAACCUUACCAGGUCUUGACAUCCCACUGAUCGGCUUAGAGAUAGGCUUUUCCCUUCGGGGACAGUGGUGACAGGUGGUGCAUGGUUGUCGUCAGCUCGUGUCGUGAGAUGUUGGGUUAAGUCCCGCAACGAGCGCAACCCUUGAUCUUAGUUGCCAGCAUUCAGUUGGGCACUCUAAGGUGACUGCCGGUGACAAACCGGAGGAAGGUGGGGAUGACGUCAAAUCAUCAUGCCCCUUAUGACCUGGGCUACACACGUGCUACAAUGGACGAUACAAAGGGCUGCAAACCCGCGAGGGGGAGCCAAUCCCAUAAAAUCGUUCUCAGUUCGGAUUGUAGGCUGCAACUCGCCUACAUGAAGCCGGAAUCGCUAGUAAUCGUGGAUCAGCAUGCCACGGUGAAUACGUUCCCGGGCCUUGUACACACCGCCCGUCACACCACGAGAGUUUGUAACACCCGAAGUCGGUGAGGUAACCUUUACAGGAGCCAGCCGCCGAAGGUGGGACAGAUGAUUGGGGUGAAGUCGUAACAAGGU